rnacentral:rRNA from 1 species
GACGAACCGUGCGAACGUUGUUCGGAUUCACUGGGCUUAAAGGGCGCGUAGGCGGCUGCUCAAGUCGGGGGUGAAAUCUUUCAGCUCAACUGGAAAAUAGCCUCCGAUACUGGGUAGCUCGAGGGAGAUAGGGGCAUGCGGAAACUUCCGGUGGAGCGGUGAAAUGCGUAGAUAUCGGAAGGAACGCCGGUGGCGAAAGCGGCGUGCUGGAUCUCUUCUGACGCUGAUGCGCGAAAGCCAGGGGAGCAAACGGG